GUGUUUGGCGGAUUGCAAGAGAGGGGACAUCUUGCUACAAGUCUUGCUGUGUUGUAUGCCUAUAUUUUGGUUAGAGGGUUAGAGAGGAGAUUUAUAUUUUUGACGUGGAAGUCUUCUAUAAAUUCCUUGUUGUAAAAACCUUAACCAUUAUAGUGCAUUUUCUUCCUGGGUUGGAAGGACACUGGAUGUAGGCGUUGUUGACCGAUCCAGUAUAAAAACCAGUAUUUGAUUUCUCUAUCCCUACUCUUUUAUUUUCAGUCGACUAUGAUAUCUGCGUAGUCAACUACGAUUUUCCAAGCACACAUUUUUCAUUACUUGCAUUUCAAGAAAGACUUGUAAAGUGUUCAACUUUGGUUUAAAGAUUGCAAAAAGACUCUGAUUUUGAAAAUUCAUCAAUUCACCCCCCCUCUCGGUGUAAAAUGAAGCCUACCUGUUUUUCAACAGUGUCAAUGACAACAACAACGAUGGAAGUUAUGAAGGUGAUGGCAAUAAUGAUGGAGGUGGAGGUGGUGAAAAUGAAGAAGGAGAAGUAGAAGAAGGAUAAGGAAGAAGAGAAGGAGGAGUAGGAGUGGGAAUAAGAGGAAAAGAAGGAGGAGGAAACAACGUGUGCAAAAACAAACGUAGCAGUGGUGAUAAUGGCGAAAGACGAGGAGGAAAAAGAAGAAAGAAAAUGAAAAAAAUGAAGAGAAGAAGAAUGAAGAAGACCAAAUCGAGAUAUUUACCAACAAAUUUUAUCGAUAACCCAAAAUUUCUCGGUAAUUAUCGAUAAAUCAUUACUAAUAGAUAAUUAUUUUGGGUUGUCGGUAAUUAUCAACAAAUAAAAUUUAUUGACAAGCAUUUUAUCCAUGGAUUUUCUUGCUAUUGAGAAUCCCGUUGAGACAAAAUUAGAAUGUCCAGCAACCCUUGUUUUGAAAUUUAUCAAACAAUAAUCAACAAAAUAUUGAUGUAUAAAGAAGCGUCCAAACAAUUGGGUUUGCCUAGUAGACAAGUGCUUAACCAACAAAUCUUAAUCACUAAGACAAAAUAAAAAUGAGAGUAAUUUUGAUCACGAAAAUAACG
rnacentral:lncRNA from 1 species